AUAAAAUUGUAAUGAAAAAAAUAAUUCAAACAGCCGGCGAACCAAGUAAAUUCCAAUUUGUUCAUUCAAAAGUGUCGUUGAAUCGAUAAAACCGUCUCCUUCCUUCAAAUUGAAACUUCGACGCAGCAGGCAGCAGCAAAUUAAAGCUCUUCAUUAAAGAACCAUCUCCUUCCUCAAAUGGAAACGUUACUGACAUCAGCCAGUUUCCCGUCUCCUUCAUUAAAGAACCUGAAACGAUCCUGAGUUUCAAACUCUGAAUCUGAAUCUGAAUCAUACGAAUACUUGAAACGCACCGUCUCCUUCACUCUUCCCGUUCACCCCAGCAGUCAACGGAGCGCCGCUACUUCUACAUCAGCCAGAAACCAGUGGUAAUUCGCCAGCAAUUCCGCCACAACUUCCUCGUAAUUCCUCAUAAAAUCAGUGGAGUUUGAAAACUUCGGAGACAACGUUGAUUACUCCGUUAUAUUUGCUACGGAUAGGGAAUUUAUUUCCUUAAAUGAAUUACAUAGUUGGGCCGAUGCGAUAGCAAUAACAAUUGGUUUUCAAUUUACGCGUGCUUCUUAUAUAAAAAAAGAAGGACGUUCUAGAGUUAGUGUGUAUUUAAGAUAUCACCGCUAAGAUAAUAUUAGGGGUGAUUUACAUAAUCUAGAUAAUACCGCCCGAUCUGGUUCUAAAAGUAGAAGUUGCGGGUGUAAAUUUUUGAUUGUAGCAAGUAGUCGUAAACCAGAAGAAAGACCUUGGACGGUAAGGGUGUGUCCUGGUGAAUAGCGAAAAGAUGGUAAAUUUUCCUGGUUUUUAUGCUAGUAUGAAUAAGAUAUAUAACAUUAUCUCUAAGAGGUUCGAAUCAAUAAGAAGAGAAAAGAUGGAGGGUAGGACUCCCCUUCAACACUUUCUUUAUGUGGCCACAAAACUUAAUUAUGUGGUCUGGACAAACUUGAAUAGCGAAGGGGAAUUGAGCAGACUACUAGUUGCAAAUCCUACCUCUAUCCAAAUGAUAAGUAUGUGGCCGUAUGUUGUGCUGAUAGAUGACAUUCAUUGUGUAUAAUAACGAUGUAAAUUAAUAAAGGCAUUGACGUGAACAUGAAUUAAAUAUGAUGUAAUUAGCGUUGACGAUAAAUAAAUAAAAUCAUUAAUGUAAAAUAGGUUAAGUACAGACUAUGAAGGGCCAUGCCCCUUAAAUGCUUGCUGUAACACCCCGAGAUUUUCUAACGUCAUUAAUUAAUAUUUUAAUUACUUUUGGGUAUUUUAUAAUUAUAUUAAAUUAAUUUUGAAGUAGUUUUAAUAAAUUCUUUUCAUAUACGAAUUUAAAUAUUAACAUAUAUUUAUAUUAAAAAAAUGCAAUCACGAUUUCUAAACAAAGAAGUUCGAAUCAAAAUAAUUAUUUUAUUGAAAUGUGUGAGCACACGAAGGUGAGUUCUUAGUUGGGCCUCGCAAGAAGAUGAACCUAGGUAAACAAAUAAAUAAAUAAGUGUAUAAAUUAAUAAAUAGGAUGAGUUAGGGUUUUAAGGGGAUAUCACUCCCUCCCUCACAAGAAUCACGCCGUCAGCCCGUCACUCCCUUCCUUCUCUUCUCUCUUUCUCUCACUCCCUCUCACUCACUGUUGAGCUUCCACAGCCACCAAGGACAGCAGCCGGCAGCACCUUCCCUUUCCCUGCAGCAGCUGUGACUCACCCCAAGCAGCUGGCAGCGACCGUGACUCACCCAAGCAGCAGGCGGCAGCAGCUGCGUUUCUUGGAGGUUCCCACAGCAGCAGUCGUGUCUGGCACACCACAGGCUGUCCACCUUCGUGCUCCACCACCACCACAUCACCACCUAUACCAUCACCCUUUUCUAGUUUUUCCAUUGGUUGAAACUUCUAUAGGUGCUCAUUUCGUAAGAGGAAAGUAGAGCCUUAGUUGGAUGAUUUUGUGACUGUUGAUCGUGCAGUGACGCUUACAGCAGGGGGAUCAUAGACAAGCGUAGCAGGUACUGGAGCUUCUUUUGCAUUGCAGUGCAUUUGGGGAGAGUGAUGAGGGCAAAACAUACCCUGUGUCAUACCGCUACCUUUCGAUUUUGUAGUUUUUGUUAUCUUUUGUAAACUUUGGUUGUAUAUGUUUUGUUAUGAGGCCUUGCGUCCUCCCUCGUAUAUUUGUAAUUCCGCUGCGUAGUUUAUAACUCUGUAUGGUUUUAAAGAGUUAAGUUUUUUUAAAAUGCAAACGUCGACACUGGAAUCGCGAUCCAUGCUUGGCAUGUUGAUUUGAGAAGCCGGCGACGAAUCAUUCUACCGUGACAUAGCUUUGAUAGGCCGUUGGUGCCUUUACUUUAUUAGUUUCAAAAUUAACUUUUGUUUUUCUACAAAGGCGCACAGUUUUAAGGCAGAUGUUGCCAAAAUUUCCACUCACUUUUUUAAAGUUAAUAUUUAACGUUUAUCUAAAUUCUUUUCCUUUUCUUUUAUGUAACACCCGAAUUUCCUCCCGUCCUUUACGGUUUUGGUUUCAUUAAGGGGACGGAAAUUCAUGUGUGUUACACUUGACAUUCGGCAAAUAAAUAUUUACAAUCAUUAAGAUAUAAUUCUAAGGCAUGACGUUCUCGGGGGUUCAUAUUCGCGAGAGGAGGUAGUCUCACCAAUGGAGCGAAUCGACUAGGCCAUUCAUUGAGAAACUGAAAAAAAAAGGAAAAACGGAG